rnacentral:lncRNA from 1 species
GCUCUUCAUCCUUGGAUCUUGAUCUCUUCUUCCAAAUCUUGAAGAAGAAGAUCACUGCGCGAACUCUUUCGCGCAGAUCCGACAGAAUUUGAAUCAAAUCACCAUGAAGAGAAGAAAAACCCUUCUUAUUCUCUUCUUCUCUCUCUUUUUCUCUCUUAGAUCUGAUCUCUAUCAGAUCUGGGCAUGAACAUGAAUUGGAGAAGACAAGAGGAGGCAUCAAGAUGAAAGAUAGAUGUAAGAAAAAAAAGUCAUCUCAUUUUUUUCACAUGCC